rnacentral:rRNA from 1 species
CGCAAUGGGCGAAAGCCUGAUGGAGCGACGCCGCGUGAAUGAUGAAGUGCUUCGGCAUGUAAAAUUCUUUUAUGAGGGAGGAAGUUUAUUGACGUUACCUCAUGAAUAAGGGGUUGCUAAACUCGUGCCAGCAGCAGCGGUAAUACGAGUGCCCCGAGCGUUAUCCGGAAUUAUUGGGCGUAAAGGGUGUGUAGGUGGUUUUGUUAGUCUUUUGUUAAAGCCUCCAGCUUAACUGGAGAAUCGCAAAGGAAACGGCAAGACUAGAGGAUGUGAGAGGUUUAUAGAACUCAUGGUGUAGCGGUGAAAUGCGUUGAUAUCAUGGGGAAUACCAAAUGCGAAGGCAGUAAACUGGCGCAUUCCUGACACUGAAACACGAAAGCGU